CCCUUAGAUGUUCUGGGCCGCACGCGCGCUACACUGAUGCAUUCAACGAGCCUAUCCUUGACCGACAGGUCCGGGUAAUCUUUGAAUCUGCAUCGUGACGGGGAUAGAUUAUUGCAAUUAUUAAUCUUCAACGAGGAAUGCCUAGUAGGCGCAAGUCAUCAGCUUGCGUCGAUUACGUCCCUGCCCUUUGUACACACCGCCCGUCGCUCCUACCGAUUGGGUGUGCUGGUGAAAUGUUCGGAUCGGCCGUUUGUCGCGGUUUCCGCGUCAUGUGGCUGAGAAGUUCAUUAAACCCUCCCACCUAGAUGAAGGAGAAGUCGUAACA
rnacentral:rRNA from 1 species